rnacentral:sRNA from 1 species
UCAGUGUGUGGUGGUUGAAUAUUUUUUUAUUGCUACAGUUGUUAUCCUUACGCAUGGACGAACUGAAGAAAAAUAUUAAAUAAAAUCUUGGAAAAACAAAAAAAAAAACGCAAAAGAUCGUGAAAUAUGUUUAACGCCUAAAGUCUCUUAGCAUCGUUUGAAAUCCAAAAAAAGUCGCUUGGUGUAAUUCAUAAAAAAACGACUUAUUUACCAGUUAAUUUUUUUUUAACAUUUGUUUCUCUGUAACAGUGUAAACACUGCACGCAUGCGCACUGCUGAUUUUUAUAUGACGAGUUAUUACUUUUUUGCGUAAUACGCGCCUUCAUAGUUUAUCAGUCUUCAGGCGGUUAUGGCAUCUUGAGGAGGUCUUGUUAAUUGCUGCAUUUUUGUGUGAAAUUUUCCAAGUGAUAAUGAAUAAUGGGUUUAUUUAAAUUUAAAAUUGUUUGACGUUAAAUGAGUUGUUGUUAGUUAAUUAUGGUGAAAGUCGAAAUAAGUGAAUCUUAAAUAAGAAACUUAAAUAUUUCAUAAAAAUAAAAGAGAAGAAAUGCCCAUUUAAAUAAUUUUUCUCUGAAAACCUUAAAUCUUACAAAAAUUGAAAAUAGAAAUACCCAUUUAAAUACGUGUUCACUAAAAGACCAAACACAAACAAUAGAGUAUUUUUUCAUCUACCUGCUGUUACGUUUUAACCUGUGAUAACGAGGAACGAGGAAAACCCACCCUUCCUUUUUGGGUUUAUUAAAACAGGUUGAGCGUUUUCUAAAACAAGAUUUAUUAGCCGCCUGGGAGGAUUUAUUGGGUUGGAGCGAAAAUGCAGCCGCUGCUCGUAAAAUGCAAGAAGACAUGAUUGUCUUGAAGCAUGCUCUAAAUCGUUUGGGCAAUAAAUCAUCAUAUGAACAGUUAGACACAGAACCAUCCAUUCAAAUUGCCAUCGAAGCUCUAAAG